rnacentral:rRNA from 1 species
UACGUAGGGUGCGAGCGUUGUCCGGAAUUACUGGGCGUAAAGAGCUCGUAGGUGGUUUGUCGCGUUGUCCGUGAAAACUCACAGCUCAACUGUGGGCGUGCGGGCGAUACGGGCAGACUGGAGUACUGCAGGGGAGACUGGAAUUCCUGGUGUAGCGGUGGAAUGCGCAGAUAUCAGGAGGAACACCAGUGGCGAAGGCGGCUCACUGGCCCGGUACUGACGCUGAGGCGCGAAAGCGUGGGGAGCAAACAGG